rnacentral:rRNA from 1 species
UACGGAGGAUGCGAGCGUUAUCCGGAUUUAUUGGGUUUAAAGGGUGCGUAGGCGGCUUAGUAAGUCAGCGGUGAAAUUUUGCAGCUUAACUGUAACAGUGCCGUUAAUACUGCCAGGCUAGGAUUUGGUUGCUGUGGGUGGAAUGUGUGGUGUAGCGGUGAAAUGCUUAGAUAUCACACAGAAUAUCGAUUGCGAAGGCAGCUCACAAAGCCAAGAUUGACGCUGAGGCACGAAAGUGUGGGGAUCAAACAGGA